rnacentral:tRNA from 1 species
GGGUGAUUAGAGCUCAGUUGGCUAGAGCAUCUGCCUUACAAGCAGGGGGUCACAAGUUCGAGUCUUGUAUCACCCACCA